rnacentral:rRNA from 1 species
CCUACGGGCGGCAGCAGUGAGGAAUAUUGGUCAAUGGGCGCGAGCCUGAACCAGCCAAGUAGCGUGAAGGAUGACUGCCCUACGGGUUGUAAACUUCUUUUAUAAAGGAAUAAAGUGAGGCACGUGUGCCUUUUUGUAUGUACUUUAUGAAUAAGGAUCGGCUAACUCCGUGCCAGCAGCCGCGGUAAUACGGAGGAUCCGAGCGUUAUCCGGAUUUAUUGCGUUUAAAGGGUGCGUAGGCGGCCUUUUAAGUCAGCGGUGAAAGUCUGUGGCUCGACCAUAGAAUUGCCGUUGAAACUGGGAGGCUUGAGUAUGUUUGAGGCAGGCGGAAUGCGUGGUGUAGCGGUGAAAUGCUUAGAUAUCACGCAGAACUCCGAUUGCGAAGGCAGCUUACUAAACUGCCACUGACAUUGAUGCUCGAAAGUGUGGGUAUCAAACAGGAUUAGAUACCCGGGUAGUC